GAAUGAGUUGUUGUGUGAGGUCCUGGACCAGAUCAGAGAGUGCGGAAAGUUGUUGCUGUUGCUGACCCAGGAAGGCUCCCUGGGCGGACAGGGCUUGUUGAAGUUGGUCUGACCCUGCAGAGUCCGUGAUGUUGGCCAGAGACUUCUG